rnacentral:misc_RNA from 1 species
CGGGGCUGAGGCCGGGGGCCGCGUUCGCGCAGGGGCCGCCCUCUCUGGUGCCAUGCAAGGCCGACAUCCUCCCCAUUGCUCCAGGCGCUGUGGUCUUGGUUAGCAGGCAUGGCGUGCAGAGCGCGUCGAGGGGAGGGGGCGCUGUGGCCGCGGGCAUCGCAGGGAUGGGGGCGGGGGCAGGGGCAGGGGCAGGCAUCGACGCACGGGGUGGUUGACGGGGGCGAGGGCACGAUGCACAGCGAGUGGGAGCGGUCGCCGAUGGAAGGGCGCGAGGGGAGAAUGUCGGGGGCAGGGCAUGCGCACGGGCGCGGGCUGAUGAUGGCGGGGCGGCGAUGGAUAGUGCGAUGAUGGUGGGGCGGAUGGAGGGUUCCUGGGAUUGCGCGACCAAGAGCGGGGCAAGGGGAGGAUGUCGGAGGCAGGGGCAGGGCAGAACCGUGCGCCACACCACUGUGGACGCCUACGGUAUCUUCUUAAGAAUAGUAGAGAUUACAUCUGAUGUUGUAUUUGGUAAAAAAAUAUUUUUUUUUCAGAGUUUAGAGCCAACAACUAAACUGCCAUCAUCUCUUCACCAACAGAUGCACAAGACUCCUAGAUGUAUUGUAUGGGGGACAAGGAUAGUCUCACAGAAAAAGGGUUG